rnacentral:lncRNA from 1 species
AGAAACAGAAUUCAAAAACACCUGUCUUCUAGGAGAAGUUCUGGUCUCUCCUCGGUGCUGUGGCUGCCCCAGGAAGAGCUUCCAGGAGCUGACAAGCAUUCAGAUGAGUAAAGAUGGGAUCAGAUUGAGAAAAGAAGAAGGGAGAGCAUAUUCAUUCUCUUUCCACUUCCCUCCCACAGCCUUUCAUGCUGAUCUCAUCUGAGGAGGCUGCCUCCUCCUCCCUGGACUCUACAAGCCCCUGUCAUGAUGUUUCUCAGAUCCUGAAUUCCAGCAAAACAGAUGGUACUAACAAGUUUGAAGACCCCCAUAGAGGAAUGGAAUCAGUAUGAGAACACAGUUUCUUCAUCUCCCCGUCCCAGAACUUCACCCUGGACUCCUCGACCAAUCAACAAUCUCCACACUUCGGCCCACUCCAAAACUCCUAAAAUCCCAAGCCCCAAACUCCUCUGGGAGAUGGAUUUGAGGCUUCCUCCCGUUUCCUUGUGUGGCAGCCCUGUCAUUAAACCUCUUUCUCUGCUGC